UUCGCGGCCUAUCAGUUGUUGGUGGGGUAAUGGCCUACCAAGGCAUACGACGGGUAGCUGGUCUGAGAGGACGAUCAGCCACACUGGGACUGAGACACGGCCCAGACUCCUACGGGAGGCAGCAGUGGGGAAUCUUGCGCAAUGGGCGAAAGCCUGACGCAGCAACGCCGCGUGGGGGAUGAAGGCUCUCGGGUUGUAAACCCCUUUCAGCAGGGACGAAAAUGACGGUACCUGCAGAAGAAGCCCCGGCCAACUACGUGCCAGCAGCCGCGGUAACACGUAGGGGGCGAGCGUUGUCCGGAUUUAUUGGGCGUAAAGAGCUCGUAGGCGGUUUGGUAAGUCGGGUGUGAUAACUCGGGGCUCAACCCCGAGACGCCACCCGAUACUGCCAUGACUGGAGUCCGGUAGAGGAGCGUGGAAUUCCUGGUGUAGCGGUGAAAUGCGCAGAUAUCAGGAGGAACACCAGCGGCGAAGGCGGCGCUCUGGGCCGGUACUGACGCUGAGGAGCGAAAGCGUGGGUAGCAAACAGGAUUAGAUACCCUGGUAGUCCACGCCGUAAACGUUGGGCACUAGGUGUGGGGUGAUCCCAUUUCUGCGCCGUAGCUAACGCAUUAAGUGCCCCGCCUGGGGAGUACGGAAUC
rnacentral:rRNA from 1 species